rnacentral:rRNA from 2 species
AAGUAAAAGUCGUAACAAGGUUUCCGUAGGUGAACCUGCGGAAGGAUCAUUACCUAGAGUUGUAGGCUUUGCCUGCUAUCUCUUACCCAUGUCUUUUGAGUACCUUACGUUUCCUCGGUGGGUUCGCCCACCGAUUGGACAAAUUUAAACCCUUUGCAGUUGAAAUCAGCGUCUGAAAAAACUUAAUAGUUACAACUUUCAACAACGGAUCUCUUGGUUCUGGCAUCGAUGAAGAACGCAGCGAAAUGCGAUAAGUAGUGUGAAUUGCAGAAUUCAGUGAAUCAUCGAAUCUUUGAACGCACAUUGCGCCCCUUGGUAUUCCAUGGGGCAUGCCUGUUCGAGCGUCAUUUGUACCUUCAAGCUCUGCUUGGUGUUGGGUGUUUGUCUCCUGUAGACUCGCCUUAAAACAAUUGGCAGCCGGCGUAUUGAUUUCGGAGCGCAGUACAUCUCGCGCUUUGCACUCAUAACGACGACAUCCAAAAGUACAUUUUUACACUCUUGACCUCGGAUCAGGUAGGGAUACCCGCUGAACUUAAGCAU